AGAGUUUGAUCCUGGCUCAGAACGAACGCUGGCGGCAUGCCUAACACAUGCAAGUCGAACGAAGUCUUCGGACUUAGUGGCGCACGGGUGCGUAACGCGUGGGAAUCUGCCCUUGGGUACGGAAUAACUCAGAGAAAUUUGUGCUAAUACCGUAUAAUGUCUUCGGACCAAAGAUUUAUCGCCCAAGGAUGAGCCCGCGUAAGAUUAGCUAGUUGGUGGGGUAAAGGCCUACCAAGGCGACGAUCUUUAGCUGGUCUGAGAGGAUGAUCGGCCACACUGGGACUGAGACACGGCCCAGACUCCUACGGGAGGCAGCAGUGGGGAAUAUUGGACAAUGGGCGAAAGCCUGAUCCAGCAAUGCCGCGUGAGUGAUGAAGGCCUUAGGGUUGUAAAGCUCUUUUACCAGGGAUGAUAAUGACAGUACCUGGAGAAUAAGCUCCGGCUAACUCCGUG
rnacentral:rRNA from 1 species